AUGGCUCAGGACGAACGCUGGCGGCACGCUUAACACAUGCAAGUCGAACGAACGGAGAUAGCUUGCUAUCGAAGUUAGUGGCGGACGGGUGAGUAACACGUGAGCAAUCUGCCUUUAAGUGGGGAAUAACGAUUGGAAACGGUCGGUAAUACCGCAUAAUAUAGUUUAGCCGCAUGACUAAACUAUCAAAGAUUUAUCGCUUAAAGAUGAGCUCGCGUCUGAUUAGCUAGUUGGUGAGGUAACGGCUCACCAAGGCGACGAUCAGUAGCCGGACUGAGAGGUUGAACGGCCACAUUGGGACUGAGACACGGCCCAGACUCCUACGGGAGGCAGCAGUGGGGAAUAUUGGGCAAUGGGCGCAAGCCUGGAACCCCAGCAACGCCGCGUGAAGGAAGAAGGUUUUCGGAUCGUAAACUUCUGUCCUUGGUGAAGAGAUAGAGACGGUAGCCAAGGAGGAAGCCCCGGCUAACUACGUGCCAGCAGCAGC
rnacentral:rRNA from 1 species